rnacentral:tRNA from 1 species
CCCGGCCCCGGCGGGGCGGGCGCCCCUCGGCCCUCGGCCGGGGCGAGCGAACUGGCGGCGGGGUCCCGAUCCCGCCGCCGGGCC